AACGAACGCUGGCGGCAUGCCUAACACAUGCAAGUCGAACGAUGCCUUCGGGCAUAGUGGCGCACGGGUGCGUAACGCGUGGGAAUCUGCCCUUGGCCUCGGAAUAACAGUUAGAAAUGACUGCUAAUACCGGAUGAUGUCCCCCUGAGAGAUCUUGGGGACCAAAGAUUUAUCGGCCAGGGAUGAGCCCGCGUAGGAUUAGGUGGGUGGUGGGGUAAAGGCCUACCAAGCCGACGAUCCGUAGCUGGUCUGAGAGGAUGAUCAGCCACACGGGGACUGAGCCACGGUCCAGACUCCUGCGCGAGGCAGCAGUGGGGAAUAUUGGCCAAUGGGGUGAACCCUGAUCCAGCAAUGCCGCGUGAGUGAUUAAGGCCUUAGGGUUGUACAGCUCUUUUAUCCGGGAUUAUAAUGACAGUACCUGGAGAAUAAGCUCCGGCUAACUCCGUG
rnacentral:rRNA from 1 species